UAAAUGUCAGAAAGUAGCUUACAAAUAAUUGUUGAAUAUAUUUUUAUGUCCAAAUACAGUGUUCAUAUUAAUAGUACAUUAUUAAUAUUUUUUGACUCGGGUUGCUUACAAAAUAUAUACUCUAUUUAAGCUAAAAUAAUAUACUCAGUAGCUGACUAAAUGACAAAUUCCACAAGAGUGUGGUUAAACUACACGGAGAGUAUAUAAACUGACUUGGUGGGGAUGACAAUUGACAAAUGAAUGUUGCCUGACAAAAAUUGGUUAUUGUCAAUAAUUAUAUUUUUUUACACAGUACAGAUUACUAGUUAUAAAUUGCACUACCUUUUUUAACUUCACGCUUGCACGACACAACUUAAUUUUAAUUUUAAUAAAAAUCCUUUUUUUUAAUAACAUACUUUAGUUGGUUAAAUGUUAUCAAAUCACUUUUAUGUAUUAAUUUGUACUCUAAAUCUAGAAUAUGCUGAAUAAUAAGGGAUUAAAUAGUAGGGUUUCCAAACUGUGCACCGCGAAACACUUCCUAAUGGCACCUCAGUCUACGACUCAUAAUAAAUAAUUUAAAAUUUAUAGACCUAUUUUUUUUUCUUCUGUGUUUCAUGACAUUCACAGCAGGGCACUGCAAAAAAAAAUGUUUGGGAACCGCUGAUCUAACUCAAACUAUUAUUUCUUACUUAAUAAAUACGCAAAUAAGCUUAACAAAUUUUCAUACACAAGGAUUUGUUUAUUUAAUAUAACAAUCGCACAAAAGUAAGUAAUAAUUCGUUUUGGCACUACCUCACAAAGACAGCGUAGAUGGGCCGACAAACACUUCCAAAACACUACACACACUGGAGGCGGCAACGAUUGCUACCACCUGUGACGGUGACGUUCACGCUCUCUGUCAGUGUUUACAUAAAUGUAUAGAAUACACAAAUUAAUCAAAUUGUCAAUCAGAAAAAUUGUUUGCCAAAUUGACUCAUUUACAUAAUUUGAAAAUUAACAAAAACAUGCAUAACUUACUGCUAAAUAUAGUGCAAGCGUUUCUUGUUUCUGUGAACACUGAA